CCGACCUUAGCUUAACUUGAUAGAGCGUCGGACUGUAGAUCCGAAGGUUGCGGGUUCGAAUCCCGCAGGUCAGA